rnacentral:rRNA from 1 species
CGGCACGGGUGAGUAACACGUAUCCAACCUGCCGUCUACUCUUGGACAGCCUUCUGAAAGGAAGAUUAAUACAAGAUGGCAUCAUGAGUUCACAUGUUCACAUGAUUAAAGGUAUUCCGGUAGACGAUGGGGAUGCGUUCCAUUAGAUAGUAGGCGGGGUAACGGCCCACCUAGUCUUCGAUGGAUAGGGGUUCUGAGAGGAAGGUCCCCCACAUUGGUAUUGAGACACGGACCAA